rnacentral:rRNA from 2 species
CGUUCGUAGUUGAAUUUGUGCUUCAUACGGGUAGUACAACUACAAUUGUGGAUUGUACAUUACCUUGUGUAUGCAAGCGUAUUAUCGGUGGAGUUCUUAUAUAUAAUGACUUGCGUUAUUGUAUAUACCUCCUAUUUAAACCUGCUUCAGUGCUCUUCAUCGAGUGCUGUUGUGGGCCGAUACAAUUACUUUGAACAAAUUAGAGUGCUUAAAGCAGGCUCCAAAUGCCUGAAUAUUUUGUGCAUGGAAUAAUGAAAUAAGACUUCUGAUCUACUUUCAUUGGUUUUUAGAUCAAGAGGUAAUGAUUAAUAGAAGCAGUUUGGGGGCAUUAGUAUUACGACGCGAGAGGU